rnacentral:rRNA from 1 species
AGAGUUUGAUCCUGGCUCAGAUUGAACGCUGGCGGCAUGCCUUACACAUGCAAGUCGAACGGCAGCGCGGGAGCAAUCCUGGCGGCGAGUGGCGAACGGGUGAGUAAUACAUCGGAACGUGCCCAAUCGUGGGGGAUAACGCAGCGAAAGCUGUGCUAAUACCGCAUACGAUCUACGGAUGAAAGCAGGGGACCGCAAGGCCUUGCGCGAAUGGAGCGGCCGAUGGCAGAUUAGGUAGUUGGUGAGGUAAAGGCUCACCAAGCCUUCGAUCUGUAGCUGGUCUGAGAGGACGACCAGCCACACUGGGACUGAGACACGGCCCAGACUCCUACGGGAGGCAGCAGUGGGGAAUUUUGGACAAUGGGCGCAAGCCUGAUCCAGCCAUGCCGCGUGCAGGAUGAAGGCCUUCGGGUUGUAAACUGCUUUUGUACGGAACGAAACGGCUCUUUCUAAUAAAGAGGGCUAAUGACGGUACCGUAAGAAUAAGCACCGGCUAACUACGUGCCAGCCGCCGCGGUAAUAC